GAUGAACGCUGGCGGCGUGCCUAAUACAUGCAAGUCGAGCGAAUGGAUUAAGAGCUUGCUCUUAUGAAGUUAGCGGCGGACGGGUGAGUAACACGUGGGUAACCUGCCCAUAAGACUGGGAUAACUCCGGGACACCGGGGCUAAUACCGGAUACCAUUUUGAACCGCACGGUUCGAAAUUGAAAGGCGGCUUCGGCUGUCACUUAUGGAUGGACCCGCGUCGCAUUAGCUAGUUGGUGAGGUAACGGCUCACCAAGGCAACGAUGCGUGGCCGACCUGAGAGGGUGAUCGGCCACACUGGGACUGAGACACGGCCCAGACUCCUACGGGAGGCAGCAGUAGGGAAUCUUCCGCAAUGGACGAAAGUCUGACGGAGCAACGCCGCGUGAGUGAUGAAGGCUUUCGGGUCGUAAAACUCUGUUGUUAGGGAAGAACAAGUGCUAGUUGAAUAAGCUGGCACCUUGACGGUACCUAACCAGAAAGCCACGGCUAACUACGUGCCAGCAGCCGCCGUAA
rnacentral:rRNA from 1 species